rnacentral:rRNA from 1 species
UACGUAGGGGGCGAGCGUUGUCCGGAUUCAUUGGGCGUAAAGCGCGCGCAGGCGGUUGGCCGAGCCCGGCGUGAAAGCCCCCAGCUCAACUGGGGGAGGCCGUCGGAGACCUGUCGACUUGAGGCCGGUAGGGGAGAGCGGAAUUCCCGGUGUAGUGGUGGAAUGCGUAGAUAUCGGGAGGAACACCGAUGGCGAAGGCAGGUCUCUGGGCCACUACUGACGCUGAGAAGCGAAAGCGUGGGGAGCGAACAGG